GUCGACGACAUAGUGGCAGACGGGUGAGUAACGCGUGGGAACGUGCCCUUCACUACGGAAUAGCUUCUGGAAACGGAAGGUAAUACCGUAUACGCCCUUCGGGGGAAAGAUUUAUCGGUGAAGGAUCGGCCCGCGUUAGAUUAGAUAGUUGGUGGGGUAAUGGCCUACCAAGUCUACGAUCUAUAGCUGGUCUGAGAGGAUGAUCAGCCACACUGGGACUGAGACACGGCCCAGACUCCUACGGGAGGCAGCAGUGGGGAAUCUUGCACAAUGGGCGAAAGCCUGAUGCAGCCAUGCCGCGUGAAUGAUGAAGGCCUUAGGGUUGUAAAAUUCUUUCGCCAGGGAUGAUAAUGACAGUACCUGGUAAAGAAGCCCCGGCUAACUUCGUGCCAGCAGCCGCGGUAAUACGAAGGGGGCUAGCGUUGUUCGGAAUUACUGGGCGUAAAGCGCGCGUAGGCGGGCUAUUAAGCCAGAUGUGAAAGCCCGGGGCUCAACCCCGGAAUUGCAUUUGGAACUGGUAGCCUAGAGACCAGGAGAGGUUAGCGGAAUACCGAGUGUAGAGGUGAAAUUCGUAGAUAUUCGGUGGAACACCAGUGGCGAAGGCGGCUAACUGGACUGGUACUGACGCUGAGGCGCGAAAGUGUGGGGAGCAAACAGGAUUAGAUACCCUGGUAGUCCACACCGUAAACGAUGAAUGCUAGUUGUCUGCGCGCAUGCGUGCAGGUGACGCAGCUAACGCAUUAAGCAUUCCGCCUGGGGAGUACGGCCGCAAGGUUAAAACUCAAAGAAAUUGACGGGGGCCCGCACAAGCGGUGGAGCAUGUGGUUUAAUUCGAAGCAACGCGCAGAACCUUACCCGCGUUUGACAUGCCCUGUUUGGUUACCAGAGAUGGUUUCCUUCAUUUAGUUGGCAGGUGCACAGGUGCUGCAUGGCUGUCGUCAGCUCGUGUCGUGAGAUGUUGGGUUAAGUCCCGCAACGAGCGCAACCCUUAUCCUUAGUUGCCAGCACGUCUGGGUGGGCACUCUAAGGAAACUGCCGGUGCUAAGCCGGAGGAAGGCGGGGAUGACGUCAAGUCCUCAUGGCCCUUACACGCGGGGCUACACACGUGCUACAAUGGCAGUG
rnacentral:rRNA from 1 species